UGGAAGUAAAAGUCGUAACAAGGUUUCCGUAGGUGAACCUGCGGAAGGAUCAUUACAGAAAUAGGAGAAGGUUGCUUAACUGCAAUCCUUUUCUUCCUACACAUGUGUUUUUCUUUUUUUUGAAAACUUUGCUUUGGUGGGCCCACGGCCUGCCAGAGAUUAAACUCAACCAAAUUUUUAUUUAAUUGUCAACUUGAUUAACUAAUAGUCAAAACUUUCAACAACGGAUCUCUUGGUUCUCGCAUCGAUGAAGAACGCAGCGAAAUGCGAUAAGUAAUAUGAAUUGCAGAUAUUCGUGAAUCACCGAAUCUUUGAACGCACAUUGCGCCCUUUGGUAUUCCAAAGGGCAUGCCUGUCUGAGCGUCAUUUCUCCCUCAAACCUUCGGGUUUGGUGUUGAGCGAUACGCUGGGUUUGCUUGAAAGAAAGGCGGAGUAUAAACUAAUGGAUAGGUUCUUUUUUUCCACUCAUUGGUACAAACUCCAAACAUUCUUCCAAAUUCGACCUCAAAUCAGGUAGGACUACCCGCUGAACUUAAGCAUAUCAAUAAGCGGAGG
rnacentral:rRNA from 1 species